UUCCUCGUAGCUUGGUCGGUAAAGAAUCUGCCUGAAAUGCAGGAGAUCCAGGUUAAAUUUCUGGGUCAGGAAG
rnacentral:tRNA from 1 species